rnacentral:rRNA from 1 species
UUUGUCCUGUGACUGCGUACCUUUUGUAUAAUGGGUCAGCGACUUAUAUUCAGUGGCAAGGUUAACCAUCUAGGGGAGCCGUAGGGAAACCGAGUCUUAACUGGGCGUUCAGUCUCUGGAUAUAGACCCGAAACCAGGUGAUCUAGCCAUGGGCAGGUUGAAGGUUGAGUAACAUCAACUGGAGGACCGAACCGACUAAUGUUGAAAAAUUAGCGGAUGACUUGUGGCUAGGGGUGAAAGGCCAAUCAAACCUGGAGAUAGCUGGUUC